GGGCGCAUGGUGUAGUUGGUUAUCACAUCCGCUUAGCAUAUGUUGCUGUUUGCGGGGGGUGCUGGGUUCAAUUCCCAGUGCGUCCA
rnacentral:tRNA from 1 species